CCACCGAAGAGUCCAGUUUAUUAUAUCUUGUGGUUCGAACAUUGAAGCCACAAGAACAAAAUAAGCUCGCUGUGUCACCACAUCUGAGCUUAGCAAACCUGCCCCAAAUUUGGUGUGUGACCACACCAUUUUUGUCGAUUGAUUUUGAAUUUGAAAGAGUACUGAGAUAAUAAUGAUGAUUUAACAAAGACAAUGAUGAUGAUUUCAAAAACAAAGACGAAAACAAUGACUUGUUUUUAUGACUAAUAUUUGAGCUGUUAUUGCUGCCAGAUUAUAUCUGCUGAUCUGCAAUAGAUUUCCAGCGAUUCGGUCCGGUGGAAAAGCUGCCUGUAAAAAUAUUCAUUUUCUACAAAAAAUGGGCCGUCGAAAAAUUUUGAGAAACUUGAAUGAAGAAGCAGAUAUUAAAAAAAUUCGUUCACAGUGGCAGCAUGAAUACCAUAGCCGAAAAAAAGAAUUGUCAAUCAAAACUACCGGAAGGGAUGCCAAUAAGGUGUCUCAAAGCAUCGUACAUCAAUCUCAAAAGUAAGCAGUGCACUGCUAAUGCUGCAGUUUCAAUCGCUAUGUCUGCUGUAAAACCAGCUAAUCUUCGAACCAAUGAUAUA
rnacentral:lncRNA from 1 species